ACUUGGAGUCUGCUGGCUGUGCUGUGAAGAGGAAGGGACAGGAGGUCGUGCAAGGGACAGAAAGGGUGAGAAUGCCGUCCGAGGAACAGACAGGGUUAGGUGGCUGUGCCAGGGACAGGAAGGAGCAAACUGGAAAUGCAGAAGGAAGGGAGGAGAAGGAGAGAAAGAACCAGAGCUGUGUGGAGCGAAUCAGGGGACUGCAGCAUAGACAAGGCUCUGUUCUCUGCACAGUGCAUCUGUGUUUAAAUUCACUGGAGCACUGCAGGCUGAGAGAGUGAUUCAUCUGCACCUCUGCCACAGGAGAGAAGUGAACAGUCCAGCUGAGGGACUGCAAGCAAAACCAGCAUCAGCACUGCGAGUCAUCUGUUGUGUUUGGCAGAGCAGCAGGUGUGUCACCCAGGAGCAGGCUGCCCUUGAGGUAUCUCCUGUUGCAGGGAGUGGCACUGGUGUUGCUGUGCAGUGCAUGAACCUUUGGUCAGCUUGCAGGAAGCACAGGAUUGACUGGUCAGACGUUUGUACUGGGGAGAGGAGGAUGAGCCAUGUCCUGUCUGGAACGAAGGAAACAUCACAGCCACAGCAGAGAGCAGAGAGACCAGAGCUGGUGCCUGGGGAGCCACAGCAGCCUGGUCAAAGUUCUCUGCUGUCGCAGCUCAGCUGCUUCUGCUCCACAGGUGUUUGAACUGGGGCUGUCUGUGCCCAUGGACAGGCUGAGGUGACUCCCAGAGUAAAGUGUCCAGCAGCUGCCCUGUUCCCAGGAGCUCAAACAAGCAAGCCUUUGCUUGCUGUCAAUCUCAGCUGGUGCACACGGGGUUCAGGGCACAGCAGAGCACUUCAUUGCUAUGGACAGGCUGAGAAAGUUGUGUGGAGACCUCAGAGCAGCCUUUGGGUGUCUGAAGGGGAUCUGCAGAGAAGCCAGAGAGGGACUGCACAGGAUACUGUAGCCAUGGCACAAGGAGAAAUGGGUUCAGACUGAAAGGGAAGGUAGAGGUUAGCUAUGCAGGAGAAAUUCUUUACUAUAAUGUAAGGGGUUUGAGACACUGCAACAGUUUUCCAGGCUCCAAGGCUGGGCUGGAUGGAGCUCUGAGCCAGCUGGUCUGGUGGGAAGUGUCCCUGCUCAGGGCAAGGGGUUGGAACCAGAUGACCUUUAAGGUCCCUUUCAACCUCAACCCUUCUAUGAUUCUGUGUUUUUACAAAUGUGGUGUUCAGUGUCAUAAGAGAUGGAGAUAAAUCCUCUUUACCCCUUUUAGACUGAGACAAGAAGUUAAGGAAGAGGAAAUUUCUUUGCCCUGGUUUUGGUCUGACAGCUCUGAUACAGAGGGUUGGCAUCCCUUUGGGGCUCUUUUCACUCACACAGCAACUCAAAGAAAGAGCCUGGGAGAUGAAUCCAGAGCAUCUUUGUCCUAAUUCUUUGUUGUUUUAUUCCAUACCAAUGGUAUUUCCUAAAGGGCAGUGCCCAAUGUCUGCUCAGCUCUGCUCCAGGGCAGUCAAAACGUACUUUAUCACUGACUUUAGAACAAGCAGAGCACACAGUCAACUCUAACAAGACAAGAAGCUGCUGAUUUUAUAUUGAUUGAGUGAAUCAUCUUCUCCAGCAGCGCGUCUCAGUUUCUAGCUGCGGGUAUCUCUGGAUUUAAUUUUAAUCAGAUCCCUUCUAAAGGGAUUAAAGAGUGCUGGUUGUGGUGGGGACCACGGAGCUUCCUGUUUCUUCUGGAAACAUGUUUGCUUUGCUUCUGUGGGGAUAUUUUCGGGUCUUGUCCCUCUUAGGCUGAAGAUGCACCCGCACCUGUUAGACUGAAGUGUUUUUCCUUGUCAGUUUGCUGUCUCAGUCAGGAAACUGAGAAUGUUCAUUCAUAAACUUUUCCAGUAACUGGCUGGAUGGAGACAGCUAUUCAGAAUUAUUUUAAAGACAUGCUAUUAAUAUGCACAUUCUAUUAAAAGAAGACAAAUAUCAAUGGGAAGCAAGAAUGAAACUAGGAUUAUUGUCUCCAACUCAAGAUAAUACAUGUCUUUCUGACAUGUGUGGGAUUUUUUUUCCCCCUCCAUACAUUUUUAUCAGUAUCAUCUCCUGAAUUAUGACUUGCUUAAAAAAGGAUUUGUGUUUUAUGAGGUUAAGAUAACUGGAUGUAGAUCUGUGUGAUCUUCCUGCAUCUCUAAAUUACCUCUUUCCUAUGGCAGCUGUUAUGAUCUCUGUCACAGAGCCCCUCUGCUGCACAAUUCCUGUAAAGAUCUAAUAAGUCUUCAUCCAUGUAGCUAUUGCUGAAGACCUACUGGAUUGUGGGCACCAUAACAAUCUUCCAAGGCCAUUUUUUAUCUAGGAGCGAGAUUCCUGUGGUUUGCCAGGUAAUCUCAAAUAGCCAAGCAUCAUAAGUUCAUGGAGAGAAAAAUCUAUUCAUACCAAUCCAAUCUCAUCAACACUCCUAAAAUGAGCAUAGGGAUAAGUGUGCAGGCAUGAAGUCAAAGCACAGUUGCCCCUUUUGUGUCUUUGAAGUCAGCUCCAGUGAUGUUGGGAUGUCCAUGCAGCCAAAUCAUGAUGAGGAGGUCAAGGAAUGCAGUCUGUGCAUCCCCUACAUCAGAAA